rnacentral:rRNA from 1 species
GUGGAGCAUGUGGUUUAAUUGAAGCAACGGAAGAACCUUCCAGGUCUUGACAUCCUCUGACAACCCUAGAGAUAGGGUUCUCUUCGGGAGCAGAGUGACAGGUGGUGCAUGGUUGUGUCAGCUCGUGUCGUGAGAUGUUGGGUUAAGUCCCGCAACGAGCGCAACCCUUGAUUUAGUUCCUCAUUUAGUUGGGCACUCUAAGGUGACUGCCGGUGACAAACCGGAGGAAGGUGGGGAUGACGUCAAAUCAUCAUGCCCCUUAUGACCUGGGCUACACACGUGCUACAAUGGWCGGUACAAAGAGUGCAGACCGCGAGGUGGAGCUAAUCUCAUAAAACCGUUCUCAGUUCGGGUAGGCUGCAACUGCUACUGAAGCGAAUCGCUAUGGG